AUGGUGCUUGAGUUUCAGAGCUCACAGGCCUCCUCUUCCCCAGGUCGGCCUCCUGCAGCUGCUCCAGGUAAAAGAGUAUGUGGGACAAAACGACCUGAGAACAUGAGGCUCAGCCCCUGCUUCUCUGUCGGAAGGAGUGGUGGAGACAAUCAGACCAUUUCACUUACGUCACCAACGACAAAAUAUGUUUUCCUCUGCCCUCAACCACAUGGUCAGCACAAGAGUUCUGCUCUGACUCCAGGGCAGAGUCUGUCGAGCUCAUCUCCAAACAAAUUAGAGAAGAUGAGAUGUGGUGAUGGAUGAGAAGGUGGCUAAGAGAGACUCCAGCCAACACAGCUUUUCAUGAUUGGGAUCAAACUCAAUCUGCAGGAGAGCUCCAGAGAGAACAAGGCCCCGUCCCUCAUUUCACCCCCACACAAAGCUGAGGCCAGAGAACGUCAAGACUUACCCAAGGUCACACAGCCACACAGCAGCAGAGCUGGGACUGGGCUCUAGCUGUUCUACUGCACAGGCCCCUUCUUUCCCACUCAGGCCGACUUGUAAUUAUUUCUGAAGACAAUGGCGGGGGGAAAAGGUUCUGAAUACUCUCUGGGUAACAGCUAACUCCCAGAGAAUAAGGUACGCUGGCUCAGUCGGAUUCCCAACGACAGAAGAACGGACGACGCUCCUCCCAACGUACUGGGACAGGAAGCUCCCAGCACCUCAGAGCAGCGGCUUUUCCCUCAGAGGUAUACCUGCAGUGCUAGAGAAGCAGCCUGCGGGCGGGCCUCCCAGCCCUAGUACAGCGGAGCGCUCUGAGCAGGCGCAGGCACAGUAGCAGCCUGGACGCCAUCCCCCGCCCCCCACUCACACACACUCCUCCACCCCUCCCCACCCCCGCAGCACAGACGCUCCCCGCACCACUGGCCCCAGGUGUUGCUAAGGGUACCAGCUCCAGGCCUUCGCAACACCCAUGCAAAAGUAGCAAGGGUCGUCCUUGUGCUUCUAGAGCACCCCAGGAACUGGACCUGCACAUCCGGCAGAGGCAGAGCCCACUUUGCUGGAGUGGACCAAAGGAGCCAAGGGUGCUCCCACCUCUGGACAAAGAGCAGCAUCCUGGCAAAGGGGUUGGUUGGCAAAUUACAACCCUUGGACCAAGCCCAGCUUACCUUCUGAUUGUUUUGGGGUGGGGGGUGAGGGGCUGGUGUGGCACAUGCGCAAAGUGUGGCUUUUACAUUUUUAAUAGUUGGAAAAAAAUCAAAGGACAAUUUCAUGGCAUAUGAAAAUCAAAUUUCAGGGUCCAUAAAUAAAGUUUAAUUGAAACACA
rnacentral:lncRNA from 1 species